rnacentral:lncRNA from 1 species
CCUUUUUUCUUCAAAUCCCUGUGAUUUUCCAUACUUAAAUCUUCCUCCAUUGAAUUCGCCUCUAGUCCUAUCUUGACCCCAAAAAUUUCUCCCCUUUAGGAUUAUUUCCUUUUUUGUUCCCAUCCAAGGUGCCGCGCCUGCUCGUCAGCUCCACCAACAUCCAGGGCCCAGACUCCCCAUCUUCAGCCACCUCAGAAGUUGCAAUGGUUUGUUCCGAUUUCUCCCCUUUCUCUUCUGCACUGAAGAAUUUAUAACAACCGGAUAGUUCUCCUUGCUGUGUCUAUAGCAACCACACUUGAAACAAACCUCAGGUAAAUUCUCAUAUUCAAUUCUUUAAAGACUUCCAUUGAUGAGAAUUUUAGAAAUUAAAGGUCUCCCUAAAUUGACAUAAACUGCCAUGUGAGCAUAACGACCCCGUGCUUUGCUAUCUGUGUUGAAAUCUAAUUUAGUGACUUUACCUACCAUUCCCCUAAUCUCUAUUAGAAUUUGUUUCUGAUAUAAAUGACUAGGGAGAUCAGGAAAUCGAAUCCAUGUGAGAACCAAAUUAGGGUAAGGUAGAUUAGGAUUGAAAUCAAUCGUCCACGGUUGAACGGUUAGGUAAUAACCAAAGAUAACCCAUGGCCCCUGAGAAAGGAUCUUAUUAUAGUCAUUAGUGCUUUGAAAUUUAGCGAGAAAAUAACCAUUCUCUAUAUCCAUUAAUUGAAAAGGCUUAAAUGGCUUCCAAAUCCCAUAUAAUUUAUUAUGCAGAGUCGUGAUUCCAAGGUUCCGACCAAGCAUCUUGAGAACCACAGAGGUUGACAUCUCCUUUUCCAAUAGCUAAUAAACUCUCUUCGAGAAAAAGAUUGAAGGAACACCAUCAACCACCAAUUUCUUUACAUCCUACUCAGAGAGGGAAAAGUUAUCAACAAGAAAGUGACCACCAUUUGUUUUAUUCAAUGCAGGAGUAUCUAUCCCCAGUAGCAUAUCUUUCCAAGAAAGAGAAGGCGCUGGUGAUGACUCCACGACCAUCACAUUUUUAGGAGACCCGUCUGAUUCCUUGAAAUAGACCUUCUUUGUGUUGGAGUCCUCCACAGCCAUUGCAUCUUUAGUAUUCACGUCUGAUUCCUUGAAACGGACCUUCUUUAUGAUGGAAUCCUCAGAAAGAGUCACUUUCUCCAUUAUUGUCCACAUUAGAAACCGAAUAAGACGAGAGCAUUUUUUUUAGGCAAUCAGAGAUUUUCUAAUUCAAUUAUUUUUAAUCUAUGUAUUAAAUCAAUCUUUUAAUAUUAUAACUAAUUACUGUAGACACUCAAUUUUGCCCGGGCCCAGAAAUAAGUCCAAAAACAAAAAUAAUAAACCUAAAAAAAAAACGAAGUCCAAGUUCAGUCCAGAAUUACAAAUAUAAUUUGGCCCGAUCGGAAUGGCCCAUUACUUGAAAAGAUUUAAGGUCCAUCUACAAGCUUGACUCAUAUGGAAAUAUAAUCUUCAAUGAUAUGCAAUCUUAGAUAUGAUAUGCAAUCUUAGAUAUGAUACAAUCUUAGAUAUGAUUACAAUCUUAAAUAUAAUAUGCAAUCUUAGAAGAUAUGAUUUUGUAAUCUUAGAGAUUUAAUUUGUAGAUACCUUUUAAUCUUAACUGUUGAUGUAAUUGAUCUAUACCGUUGGAUUUGAGGAGGUUCAACUAUAAAUAGAGGCCUCUCCCUUCAUUGUAAACACACUGGAGUUUUGG